rnacentral:rRNA from 1 species
UACGUAGGGUGCGAGCGUUAAUCGGAAUUACUGGGCGUAAAGCGUGCGCAGGCGGUUCGUUAAGUUCGUUGUGAAAGCCCCGGGCUCAACCUGGGAACUGCAAUGGAAACUGGCGGGCUUGAGUGUGGCAGAGGGGGGUGGAAUUCCGCGUGUAGCAGUGAAAUGCGUAGAUAUCAGGAGGAACACCGAUGGCGAAGGCAGGUCUCUGGGCUGAUACUGACGCUCAUGCACGAAAGCGUGGGUAGCGAACAGG